UCUGGGUACUUUCAUGAGAAGCUGAGUGUGUGGCUUUCCUUGCUGUUGAGUGGUUAUUAGUUGACAUGAAGGAAAAAGUCCUUACCUUGCUGGCAAAAAUAUUCAAAGAGAAUGCUUUCUGAGUGGAGUGACAGAGAUGAGGGUUACUGAGUUGGACUUCACAGCAUCUCUAUGCUAGGCUCUGUUUGUUGAUGCUUCCUAAAUCUCUAUCUCUAAAAAAUGGCUGUAAUUUUUUUUUGUGUGUAUACAUCUCUUCCUCCUUAUGUUCAGAGCUGUGUAUGUAUAAUUUAUGUAUAUUUGCACAGUGUAUAUAAUAAAAAUUUUCAUUCCAAAUAAAAACAACAGAAUACUUUUUCUUUGUUGAAAGACAUUGACUUUAGUUGCAAAUGGACUCUACAGUAAUGAACACAGUCCCCUCCCCCUUUGACAGGAUCUGUGGACCCUGUGUUCUCCAAAGUCACACAUUAGAAGUAGCAGAACUUGUGAACAGAAGUGUUGAAGCAGAUUAUGGAAAAUAUAUACAACCUGAGCCCACAACAGCAACUAAGCCCUAAUAAUAGAAGUAAACUGACUGAUCCCCCAGUGUGAGUCUGCUGGUCCUUCAUAGUGUAUUGGUAGAACUGGCAAUUCCUUGUUCUCUGUAGAUUGCCCAAGGCAUUCACUUCUGAUAAACACGGCGUCUGACAAAGUUAUGUCUGGUCCAUAGCUUUCUUCAUUCAUCUGAGUGGAAAGCAAUGUCUUCAGCCCCUUUCCAUGUGUUCUUCUGGCUUCACCAUGUGGCCAACAUGGUGGUGGUGCUGGUAUAUGUGCUACCACUCAUUUUCAAGAUGCUGACUGAGCAUAUUUCCAAUUUCUAGCUAACUUUAUGCUAGUGUUUCCAUCCACUGUUGAGUCUCUUGCCUUAUGAGAGUGCUUGCCUAUGACUGCUUCAAAAAUAUUAACAAGUUGAAGAAAUAGCAUCUCAACCUACACAACUUCCUAGUGAUGCUGGUGUCAUUCGCCCAGUUAAUCACAUCUAAGGACCUUCCCUGUCAAAUAUAUGACCUCUUAAAUCUCUGCAAAUAUGCCAUCCAAGGAUGGUACCAGUUGAGUUGGAUUACAGGGGAUCUAAUGAAUAUAGACUAGGUAUUUGAUUCUCCAGUGGGGAUCUAUCAGCUUGUUUUAAAGGAGGCUUUUAUGUUAUGCCUUACUGAAUAAGGUAGUUUUUUUUUCAAGGCCUUAAGCUAUCCUUGAAGGGUGAUAAAAAGUGUCCUUAUAGCUUGACCUUUUUUUAAAGAACAGUUCUGCCUGGAUGUUGAUAGAAAGUCUUACUAUCAGAUACAAGCAACUAAUUUUGACAUCUCUACUGGAGGAUAAAAGUAGUCUAGUUUGGCUGAAUUUGUAGCACCACCAUUUAUUUAUUUAUUUAAUAUUUAUAGGUCACCAAAUAUAUGCCUAGUUCUAAGGAAAUGAUGGCAAUGUCUCCUAAAAGUCUAUGGUCUAAUGGGAGAUAAUGUAAGAGAACAGAAGUUCACAGUCAGUAGAGAAAGCAUUCUAUGGGGACGAUGGGGCUUCCAGGAGGAUGUUGAGGGAUAUAUGAGAUCCAGGCUGCGGGGAAUGAGAGAAGGUCUCAUAGAGGAGAUGAUGACCUCAGAGACUCAACUAGGAAAUGAGUGUGACCAGAUCUGCAGAAUUUAGCCUAGUGGACUGAUAAUGACAUUCAAUGAAAGAUCAGUUUUCUCCUGAAGCUAUCACUUUUUUGAUAGUCAGUUCCUUGUUGCUAGAUGGAUUCCAUUUGUAAGCCAUUGUGUUCUGCUGUUAUGACCACCCACAAACAUCAUUAUUUAUACUCUGUUUUCCCCAGAGUAGCUUCUGAGAAAAGAUAGUUUGAAAAAUACAGAUAUUUUUACUACUCUUGAUUCAUAACCCAAGAUUUCCCCUUCAAAUGGACAGUUAACUGAUUAGUGGAGGAGCUGGAGCAGGUCUAACAUGGCUGCUUGCUAUUUUGAUGACCGGAAGGAGAAAUGUUGGAGGAUGAGUGGGAGUGAAGAGAAAUGGGCAAGAUUGGAAAAUUUAAGAAGAAUCAGCACAGUUUGCUUGUCAGUCAGGACUGUAUGCUGCAGGUGUAACAGAAAUAUGUGAUAACAACUGUGGCUUAAACAUGAUUCAUUCUUUUAUAUGAAGUGAAGUUUGGAGCUCAGGGUUGGUAUUGCUCCUCUGUGAAGUUCUCAAGGAAUCUGGCUCCUUUUAUCUCUAUCCCAUCAUCUUUAGUUGUGGCUUCUAGUCUUCAAGGUCACUUCAUGAUCCAACCUGAUCAUAGAACUCUAGCCAUCUUUUUCAGGAGAGGAAGAAGGGAAAGACAGAGGGCUGAAUGGAAUGAUAAUCAAUUAUGCUGUCAUCUCAUUGGCCGGAAUAUCUAGCUGCAAGGGAGUCUUGGUGGGAAGUACAGUUUUCAGCUGUAAUGUCCAUUCUCUUGCUAAAACAAAACUUGUUUACAGUGCAUAGGGGUAAAGGAGUGGAGGAGUUGAGGGAUAAUCCCUACGUUUCUUUUAGCCUGUUGGGUUCAUGUUGGAACCUGGGGGAGAAGAUUUAUUUGAAGGAAGCGUGGAGGCAGUGGAAAGGGCAGUGAGUCAGGGCCCAUGGAACAUCCCAAGUGUAGAUGCCCACUGCAGCAGGUACUCAAAGUCAGAGCUUAGAAGUAGUAUCUAGCAUGGAGACAAACUGAGUCCUGGAAGAAACACACAGAUUGAGCUACAUUAGUGCACAGAUUAUAGUGCAAACC
rnacentral:lncRNA from 1 species